GGAAUAGGGAGCCAAAGUUCCUCGAGAAUGAAGAUAAACUGGCAAGCCAGUUGCUUCAUUCUGCACUUAAUAAAGUGAUCAUACUCCGAGACCAAUAUGAUUGGUUCAUAGCGAAAAACGCUUCGGAGAUGUACUUUCCUUUGAGUUAUUUUGAUAACCCACAAGAGAAAGUACCUCUAAACGAUCUACCAAGGCCAUACUUGUCCUUGGUGACCGAGAUUGAGCAAUUCUUUGAAAUGCUAAUCGGUUUAGAGAUGAACUGGACUGAUCGUCCAGAGGCUAUAUACCAAGACCUUUAUAUGGAAAUGGAUGCCACACUUUAUUACGAAGAGGCCCUUGAACUUCACGAAAGAGUUGAUAGACUCGAGUUUAAACUUAAACCUUAUGAAGGUCGAGUUAAACCCGGGAAAACAAUCCACGAGACUGCACCCAUACUUACUGCUUUACGCGGUAUUCUGGGAACUGGUCUACGAAGAUGGAACAACUCUCCUAAUCGAGUAACUAUUAGUACGUUACUUAAUUAGGUCGUGGUAGGAAUCUCCCGCCCUGAAAAUCAGAUGAAAGGCUCCUCAAUAGAGAGACCGACCCUUUGGGGACGACUCUGCGAUGAGGAUUCUAUCUCUCAACUUCUCGACACUUCGAGAAACUUCUGUUAAGUUUAUUAACAAUAAAAACCAUACCUUUAGGUCCGGAUGAAAUACCGGGUACCCAUGGAGGGUAGUUCUUAUCAGAAGACUCCAAGAAACGGAAGAAGAAGAAAGAUGUGUCUAACUCACAUAAAAUCUAUGUGCAUCGGCCUGACCAAGGGCACUGGGUGUUAUACCAGGUAACUUGGAAGGGGACCGACGGUGUAGAGACCUUUCUAUCCGAUUCAAUCGGUGGAACUUCUUAUUGUCACAAACCAGAGUGGUUCACUGAAGAACCCUUCUCGGCUUAGUACUAACGAGGCAUUUCUUUACAGAUAUGCGCAGUUAGGACUAAGGUCCGAUCUUAAC
rnacentral:misc_RNA from 1 species